rnacentral:tRNA from 1 species
ACAGCCAUAGGUUAAUGGUAAACCUUUUGUCUUCCAAAUAAAUUUUGUCGAUUCGAAUUCGACUGGCUGUA